CAGACCUCGGGGGCGGGGGUUGGAGAAUUCGGCGUUCCAGACAAGGGGGCUGCGACGGCAGUGGCGGCUGGCGAAGGACUGGUCUCAUCUUCAGACUCCUCGCCUAGGAAGCUGAGGUCAAGCUCUGAAAAUUUUCUGGCCACCUUCUCUUAGCAGAGCUCGAACCCCUUUAUGAACGCUUCCUGGCCGAAUUGGACCUUC
rnacentral:lncRNA from 1 species